rnacentral:rRNA from 1 species
CCUACGGGAGGCAGCAGUGGGGGAUAUUGCACAAUGGGGGGAACCCUGAUGCAGCGACGCCGCGUGGGGGAAUGAAGGUCUUCGGAUUGUAAACCCCUGUCAUGUGGGAGCAAAUUAAAAAGAUAGUACCACAAGAGGAAGAGACGACUAACUCUGUGCCAGCAGCCGCGGUAAUACAGAGGUCUCAAGCGUUGUUCGGAAUCACUGGGCGUAAAGCGUGCGUAGGCUGUUUCGUAAGUCGUGUGUGAAAGGCGCGGGCUCAACCCGCGGACGGCACAUGAUACUGCGAGACUAGAGUAAUGGAGGGGGAACCGGAAUUCUCGGUGUAGCAGGGAAAUGCGUAGAUAUCGAGAGGAACACUCGUGGCGAAGGCGGGUUCCUGGACAUUAACUGACGCUGAGGCACGAAGGCCAGGGGAGCGAAAGGGAUUAGAUACCCUGGUAGUC